rnacentral:rRNA from 1 species
AGAAUCAACGCUGGCGGCGUGCCUAACACAUGCAAGUCGCACGAGAAAGGGACUUCGGUCCUGAGUACAGUGGCGCACGGGUGAGUAACACGUGAAUAAUCUACCUCCGAGUGGGGAAUAACUGAGAGAAAUCUUAGCUAAUACCGCAUAACACUUACGAGUCAAAGCAGCAAUGCGCUUGGAGAGGAGUUCGCGGCAGAUUAGUUAGUUGGCGGGGUAAUGGCCCACCAAGACGAUGAUCUGUAUCCGGCCUGAGAGGGGCGCACGGGACACACUGGAACUGAAACACGGUCCAGACUCCUACGGGAGGCAGCAGUGGGGAAUUUUGCGCAAUGGGGGAAACCCUGACGCAGCAACGCCGCGUGGAGGAUGAAAUCCCUUGGGAUGUAAACUCCUUUCGAUCGGGAAGAUAAUGACGGUACCGAGAGAAGAAGCCCCGGCUAACUUCGUGCCAGCAGCCGC